rnacentral:tRNA from 1 species
GGGUCGUUAGCUCAGUUGGUAGAGCAGUUGACUUUUAAUCAAUUGGUCGCAGGUUGAGCAGUUGACUUUUAAUCAAUUGGUCGCAGGUUCGAAUCCUGCACGACCCACCA